UUAUGACUGUGCCUCAACUAAAAGCCGAGCUUCGUAAAAGAAAUGCAACAACUGCCGGUAAAAAAGCUGAUUUGAUUGAAAGAUUACGAACGUAUGAUCAAAACCAAAAUUUUUGUGCUGACUGCGACAUCCAAGAGGACCCUGCAUACGUAUGU